AGAUCUGCAAUCACUGAACAUAGAGAAACCCGGUUCUUAGACAGUUAUAACUUUCUAGGUAAGUAUUAGAAGGCAAUGGGAACAUUUUUAAUUAGGUUUAUAAAAUUUUACUUCAGGAACACCCUUAUUUCCAAUAUGAGGUACACCUAUACGUCUAUAGUCAUCUCAUUUAUAGUGCUUGCUUAUUUCUCCUUUGGGGUUAACAAUAUCCCAGCAAUUAAUAUUUAUUGUGUUUUUACCACAUGCCAACAUGAUCUUAGGAAGCACAUGGCAGUCAAAGGCUUUUCUUCAAUUGGAUGUUUUGAAAUAGGCCUUUUUAUCCACUUGAAGAGACAGGGUAUUUAAUUAGCUUAUUCUUUUCUAUUCUAUUUGUUGUUUAUUUGUAACAGAAGAGAUUUUUGUGGGAAACAAGCUAAGUAAAGCAUGGGACCUGACUCCAUGACAUAUUUUGGCUCUGUUCUGUUCAGAAUGAGGGUGGUGCAUUAUGGCCUUGACUAUUGAUCUAGAUCUAGACUCCCCUACUUCUCUGUCUCUCUUCCAAGAAGACUUUGCUCUUCUCUUUUGGACAAGGCUCCAUGCCUCUAGGCUAAUCUCUGCUUUAGCUCUUGGUCAGCUCCAAGGCAGCUACUUGUUAAGUACUGUGUUCUCCAUUUAUGCUCUUUUAAAUUUAAACUCUUGGGGGGCUUGUUCAUCACCUGGGCUGGGUGUGUAGCAUUUGUACCUCAAAUGCAUACUGACUUUUAAAUGUUGGCCAAGUUAGUUUAAAACCCUAGACAAACUUAUUGCUUUCUUUAUAAUAAAACUGACACGAUAGUUCCCAAGGAUAACUUUGUUAUGAAAGUAAAAAACAGAAAUUUUGUAUAACACACCUGUCAUAGUGCUACUGACAUAUAGCUGGUAGUCCAUCAGUAGUUUUGAAUAAAUAAUAGUCUCAUUUUCCCCACACAAUCACAGAUAUUAUAUAUCUAUAAAAUAUGUAAUAAUGCCACCUUUGGUGUAUAAAAGGCACAGCUAUAAUGUAAGUCUAAAAUAGUUACAUAAACAUAAAAAUGCGAUAUUCAAAAAGGACAGGAUAGGGCCAAGGCUGUGUAGAGGACUUGGUUUGCAUGCCUGAGGCCCCAGGUUCUAGUCUCAAUUCUGCAGAGAACAACAUCAAGCUAUGAUAAAAUAAAUUGUAACUCAUGGGAAAACUCCCAUGAAAUUGAGAUUGUAACUAUUUAAAAAGGUGAUAUCUAUCUAAAUGUGUUAUUGAUCAACUUUAUAGAUCUUGGAAAUUAGCUUCAAACUCUGAACUAAAUAACAGAAAUUAUAACUUUGUAUGUAAAUGACUGGGUUGAAAACUGGGGUAUAGUAAGGGAAAUGGUAACAUUUAACUGAGAACAUCCCUUUGUGCAUAUGUGGUGUAAAUUUUAAGGAUCUGAGUUAUAUUCCUUUUGUAAGUGAAAUUAGUUAUGUGACACAUUUUAAGUUAUCAGUAACUGGGGAAGUUAAAAUAUUUUCACCUUCUGUAGACAGCAAGAUGAAUUCUUUGGAUUUUGCUCUAUGAUGUCAAAGGACGCAUUAUUUGCAGAGCAGCUGAUGCAUUUAGGACUUGUUGAUUCACUUAAUUGGUAACUGUACUACAUUCAUAACUCCAACAGCUGAAAACAAUAGGUUAGUGUCUGCUGUUUAUGCACUAAUAGCCACGGCGGAGCAGAGUAUGUCGGAAGAGCAGAGUCUGUUAGUCUGAGGAGGAAUCCGCACAUGAAUGCACUAUUGCUAAUCACAGAGGUGGGUUUUCUGUUCUUCAUUGAGAAGCACUGUUUGUCUUUUUUUCUUUUCUUUUCUCUUCUCUUUCUCUUUUUCUUUUUCUUUCUCUCUCUCUCUUUUUUUAAUAUAUGUCAGUGGCCAAGUAUGUUGUGUCUAUGUAAUUAGACUGACUGCUGUGAAAUAGUAUGUAAUUGAAUUUGAAAUUUUAGUGCUGAGAGGAAAUGCUUCCUAGAAAUGAGUCAUGGUUGAAAUCAGCUCAGUGUUUUUAUGUCUUUCAGUUUUCAUGUUUUAGAGCAAAAAGUGAAUACAUACAGUAGGUGAUAAAAAUUUUUUAGGGGACAAUUCCAUUGGGAUAUAGAAACCAAUAAAUGUUCAUUUGAAGAAAUUAGAGAUACUGUACUUCUCAUUAGUGGGCUAUUUAUUUAUUUAUUUCUUCUGAGUUUUUAGGAUCAAAUUUCCAUUUUAGGACUAGUAAUUUUUAAAUUAAAACAUAAAAAUAUGACAAACUCUUCCUGUUUCAUUGUCAAGAAAAGGAACACUGAUUUUUUUUAUUGAAUAUUUUCUUUAUUCACAUUUCAAAUGGGAAAACUGAUUUUUAAACUAUGUAAAGUAUUUAAAAUAUUCCUUUUAAAAUUUGACUUUAUAAAUAGGUAAGAUUUAACUAUGAUAGAAGUGAGUGCAUUCCUAGAAUAAUUAUGUUCACUUAAAAUGCUAAACCAACAAUUUGAGUAUUUUAUGGUUAUAAAGUAAACAUAGUAAGUUUUUGUAGCUUUAAUAGGUUUAAUGAGAAUAUCCAUCUUUGAAGCUUUCUAUUUGUGUCAGUCUAGUUUAUAAUCACACUGUCAGGAAACUUUUAGCUUCCCAUUAUAGAAGGAAUUCUUGAACAUAAAAUUUACCUCUAAAUUGUUUAGAGAAAGGUUGAACUGAUCCUCAAAAGCUCUUACAAUUUUUUGGACUAUUUUCUUAGCCUACAGUUUUGGUGUAUAAAAUUGGAAAAUACCAUUAGAUAAAGAACAGUGGAGUGUAUGAUUACUCUGUUUGCAGCAGAUUCCCAUCUUCUCAUCUGGAAAAUUAAAUCUGAUUACAGCUUGGAUUAGCAUUUAUGGUUGUAGGAGAGAAAGAUAGUAUCUUAAACUCCAUGAAAUCGAGCAAUGAGAUUAUAUGGCUGAUAGUUUAUGUUUAAACCCUGACUUUUAAAGGGCAGGCCUUUCUAAUUAUAGGAAUCAAAGGUGUUGAGUAGUUUGUCUUUUCUUGCCUAAGACAUCCUAGAGACAAAGAUUGGAUAGCUCAGUAGGCAUUAGAUCUAAAUUUUCCUGCCUUGACCCCUGGUAUGUUAAAAGUGAAAGCAGUGCAAGCUCCGCCCGAGUGAACUGCCACGAGAGCAGCUUCUUUCAGAGGCCUCCAGAGAGCCCCAGUUAUGGAAGUUGGUGACAGUUAGUUAGUAUACAGUUUUUAUACACUUCAUACAAAUUGUGAUGGCAUAUUUUUCAAUAAUUGAUUUGAAAGUAUGCCAUGCCUUCUUCAAAUGUAGUCAGCCAUGGGUGAGGGACAGAGAACCAGAAAUAAUUUGUGUGGGUGUGUGUUUACGUACUAGUUACCAAUGUGCAAAUGAGACCUCAUAUAUAACCACAGCAUUUUUAUGAUUUAUUUUGUAUUUUUGUUGUAAAAACUCUGUCUACCAGGUUUUCUAGGAACUUUAAGCCUAAGGCAAAUGCAAGGGUUUGGGAGCUGUAUAAAAUAAUUUAUAGCACCUUUCCAUUGAGUCUUGCCCAAACUCUUAUUCUAUUAAUUAAACAUCCUGUGGCAAUCUGGUAUAUCUUAUUAAAUAUUUAAAAGUAUGUACAGUUGGAGACUAGAAAACAUAGGUUGAGACUGAAGAAGGCCAGUCUUUUCUUUCUGGAGCUCUCUGUUUUCAGCACAGCCAUGUUCUCUGCUGGAACGAAUUUGUAUUGCUGAGAGUCCUACACUAUGACAGUGUUGUCUUGUGGCCUUUACAAAAAUGGUAUUAUUGUGGAGACAGACCUGUAGUGCCCAUACUGCUUCGAGAAGGCAGUGUCCUUCACACUGUUGUGACAGGGAACCUUGUCAGGAGCCUCUUAUAGACCUUUUUGGUUAAAAGAUGUGUGGGCUCUUAUCAGAUGGUCUAUAUUGUUGACAAGGUAUUUUAAAUACAGAAGUAAAAUAAAUUAAUUGAAAAGUGUUUUCCUGCUGGGUAUGGUGGUGUAUGCCUAAAGCACUCAGGAGGCAGAGGCAGGAGGGUCUCUAUGAUUUUGAGGUCAGCCUGGGCUACAUUGUGAGUUCUAAGACAGCCUGGAACCCUGUCUCAGAACAAC
rnacentral:lncRNA from 1 species